AGGGUACAGACCAGACUCCUGUUCCCCGGUUAGGAUCUGAGGGUACAGACCAGACUCCUGUUCCCCGGUUAGGAUCUGAGGGUACAGACCAGACUCCUGUUCCCUGGUUAGGAUCUGGGGGUAGAGACCAGACUCCUGUUCCCUGGUUAGGAUCUGAGGGUAGAGACCAGGCUCCUGUUCCCCGGUUAGGAUCUGAGGGUACAGACCAGACUCCUGUUCCCCGGUUAGGAUCUGGGGGUAGAGACCAGACUCCUGUUCCCUGGUUAGGAUCUGAGGGUGCAGACCAGGCUCCUGUUCCCCGGUUAGGAUCUGAGGGUGCAGACCAGGCUCCUGUUCCCCGGUUAGGAUCUGAGGGUACAGACCAGACUCCUGUUCCCCGGUUAGGAUCUGAGGGUAGAGACCAGGCUCCUGUUCCCCGGUUAGGAUCUGAGGGUACAGACCAGGCUCCUGUUCCCCGGUUAGGAUCUGAGGGUGCAGACCAGGCUCCUGUUCCCCGGUUAGGAUCUGAGGGUACAGACCAGGCUCCUGUUCUCUGGGAACUGGCAUCCCAGCAAGGACAGGUAGUAAACAAAUAAGAACAUUUGAGAACAGUGUGGGGAGGGCCUAACACUGCUGUGUGGUGGUAAGCAGGACACAGGCUACUGUAGACUGGGUGGUUGUGGGGAGGGGGUGGCUAUGGGGAGGUGACAUUGAUCUGAGCCCUGGAUGCCAACAAGGAGCCAGCUGUGCAUGGAUGGAGGUGAGAGCGGCGCCAGGCUGAGCCUGCAGGAGGUCAAGGUGCUGGUGGGAGCUCAUGUGGCUGGGGACAGUGAGCGUGGGCAGAACAGAGGUGGUACUUGUGCCGAAGUAAUUAACUGUGAAGGCCAAAGAUGCCCUCCCUGCAGAGGCCUGCUGGCAAGGUUGGUCCUCAGCUGGGACCUGGGAGCUUUGCUGAUAAAGAGGCCCCCACACUGAUUCACCGAAUGGUAAGAGGGGCUGACCUUGGCCAGGCUGCGUGUGCAAACAAUAGGGUUUAUGCUGAGGCCCUGCUUUCCUUCUGAGAGGCUGGGAUUCUGUACUGUGCCAGGCACAGGUGCUGACAUGACCAGACCCCAGUAAACCCUGGGCGCCGAGUCUCUAGUGAGUGUCCCUCAUAGACAGCUCUCCCAGGUGUUGUCACAUCUCGUCGCUGGGGAAUUAAACGUGCUGUGAGACUCCCUAGGGAGGGGACUCUGGGAGCUUGUGCCUGGUUCCCCUUGUGCCUUUCUCUUUACUGUUUUUGCAGCUUGUCCUUUCACUGUAAUAAAUUGCAGCCUGAGUCCUGGGAGUCUCUGAACCUGGGGAUGGUCCUGGAAUCUCUGACACAGAUGUGGCCAGAGAAGGGAUAGGGCCAGUCCUGCAGGGCCCUUUAGGGAAUAGUGAGGUGCAGUGUGAGGGCUGCAGCGACCCAUGGGCUGCUCAGCCCAGCCUGGGGUGACGGUCUCACUUUCCCUGGGAGGACAGGGUGGGUCCCACCUGCAGACUCUGAGAAGUCCUCACUCAGUCUCCACGUGCACAGGGCCUAGGAGGUGGUCUGGGUGCUGGUGGGCGGCUCUGCCACAUGCCACCCUCACAGUCUUCCCCUGAGUCUGUUCUUUCCUCUUGCUUGUCCUGGGUCUCUCUCGGCAGCACCUUCCUCUGUGUGUGUCAAAUGCUACUGACCUCAUGUACUUCCUGUCUAUUCAGAGACAGGACACGGGGUGGGAAAUUGGUAUCAUUUGCAUGACGCUCACCUCCUGAGGAUGGUGAAGAGCUUGCAGGCAUCAGAGCUAGCCAGGAAGUGAGCAAUUGUAGCAUUUUUAGGAAACUCACUUGGCCCUUUCUGAGUCUGUCUCCUGGUUUUCUUCGUGCCCAGGAUUCAGAGGAUGAUGAGAGGGAUCCUCCCUCGGGCCCUAUGGCCUGGCUUUGAAUUUGGCAUUUUCAAAAAAAGUCUGGACUAACUGAUCAUGAUUCCAGACUCCCGAGAAAGAAGCAGAGAAUGUUCGGGUUUUAGGAGUGGGAUCUGGGAUCCUGGGGGUGUGGGAGUGAGGGUGAGAGCCCCACGGAAGCGCACCCAUGAGCAGGUGGAUAUGGGAGGGCCGGAGCCCCCCAGACCAGGGCUGGCCUUGGGGAAACAGAAGGGGUCAUGGCAUCAGAGAGGAAAGUGCAUCUUAGCUACGAUCUCCCCUGCCCAGAGCCUCCUGCAGAUCCAGGGACCCCUCUCCUGUGUUUGACCAGGGACACUGACAGCUCUGCCUAUGUUGAGAGUCCUCAGAGAGCUUCAACUAGGCCUGUUCCCCCAAGAUCUUUUGUUGUUCAUUUUAAGAAACAACAGACCAUCACUUUAAAAGUAGCACAUUUUGGUGCCUAUUUCUCAGUGAUUGAUCCUUUCAAAUAUGGUUUCCCGGGAUCUAAAGAUUGUAGCUGAAUAAUGCAUGAUAUUUUUGUUUCCCAGAAACAGGUGUUUUGUUUUUAGUGCAUUAGCAUGAUGAGAAAAAGCUGGCUGCAGUUUCUCUGCGCUCUGAAGUGCUGGAACAGUUCUGGGUUUUAUAGGCACCCGUUGCCAGGAGCUGUCGGUGCCAGGCUCUUGGUUUCUUGACAAGGAAGCUCAUGGCCGCGUCUCACCUCCUCUGGGGAGGUACCAGAUCCGUGUGCAGCAGUUUUACACGUCCGUCCAUUUGUUCACCAUUCACUCAUUCUUUCAAUGUUCAUUUCCUGAGGGCUGCUGAGUCCUGGUGCUGGGAUGCACUUCGGGGUUACAGAGACAAAAAGACCAAGUCCCAGCCUUUAGGAAACCUGCAGUCUAUGAGGGAGACAGAGUCUCAGUCAUUGGGCCAGGUGAUGAGGGGUAAACUGAGGCACACACCAGGUGUGAUGGGCUGUGAAGGAUCAAGCCUUGGAGCUCACUUGUGGGUGGGAGGAAGACCCCAAUGAGGAGAGGAGAGAAUCCGUGAGUGACAGGGAGUAGAUGGGGCUCAUCAGGUGGCUGUGUGGUGGGCGGGGACCCCAAGGGGCCUGAACAGAAGUGUGACUACAGUGACUCAGAACUCGGGAGGGGCUGCCCUCGAGCCCCACCUGAUUUACGACCUGGACCCUUUGUGAUUUUGGCUGAAGAGAGACAGUCGACUCCUUUAAAAUAUGGAAUGAAACCCCAGAAGCAGGAACAGGCCAGCGGUGGUUAAUGAGUGAAACAGAUGGGAGUCUUAAUUAGAGCAAGAACAGGGCUAAUUUGACGAUCAGUGCUUCCCUGAGCAUAUGGCCCAGAGAUACUUCCACCCACGCUGAGGGAGACAGUGUGCAGAGUGGGAACGGCCACGUGUGUGGGAAGUGGGGUUUGGAAGGGUUUGUUCCCCUGCCCAUGCCCUCUACUCCACUGCCAGCUUCUACAUUUUGUUGGCUUCUUUUUCGUCCUCUGCCUGUGUCAGAGGGACGGCUUCUCUGAGGAACUGACUUGCAGGGCGUGGCCUCGAACUGACAUGUGGGGAUUUUGCCACACAGCCCUAAGGAAAGCCGAUGAUGACUUAGUGGCUCUCACCACAGGCUUCCGACUGCUACGACCCUGAGUGUGGGCCUGUGAAAAGGGCAGGUGGGAGGGGGAUGCUUGCCAGAGCCACCUCUGACUCCAGGUUAGCUGGGGCCACAUCUCCCAAGAACCCUGGGUGGACUCUCACAAACCCCUCAGGUCAGCAGCCAGCCCUACGGGGCCUGCUUUUUGGAUAAUAGUUCUUUAGGAGGAGCAUAGCACUGGGUCCUGUGCCAUCUGGCAAUAUUGCUCCUUUCCCAUUAAAUCCAGUGGUUCUCAGAGUGGGGUUCCUGGGCCAGCAGCAUCAGCAUCACCUGGAAACUUGGUAGAAAUACACAUUGUUAGUCCUGCUUCCCAGACCUGCUCAGACACUCUGGGGGCAGAACCCAGCAAUCUAUGUUUUAACAAACCCUCUGGGUGAUUCCCAUGCAUGCUGACAUUUAAGACUCUGCUAUAAUAAGCCCUAGGAGAUUUCUUCACACUAAAUGGUGCUUGGAAGGAUCAGUGUAUCCUGACAACAUCCUGUACUCUUUAGAGAAAUGGAACUGGGCACUCUGAGAUUCUGCAUUUUCAUCUUCUGCGAUAAGUGGAACCUUUGGACUCUCCUCAAGUCAUGUCAAUGAGCAGGCUCCUCCUUCAUGGAUGCAAAAUGGCUGCAGCAGCUCCAGACCUCACAUUGCUCAGCUUCAAGUCCACUGGGAAGCCACCUGCCUAGGCCCCAGCAUUCCCUGCAAUCAUCUCAUUGGAUCCCACUGGGUCGGAUUGGGUCACGUGUCCAUCCCUGAGCCAAUCACAGUGGCUGGUGGAAUAAAUGCCCUGAUUGACUUAGG